GCGGUAAAAAAGCUCGUAGUUGGAUUUCUGUUGAGGAUGGCCGGUCCAUACCACGUAUGCGCAUCUGGUUUUUCAUCCUCGGCAUCCUCUCGAAAUACGUUGCUGUGCUUGAUUGCAUGGUGCGGAGUUCGGGACUUUUACUUUGAGGAAAUUAGAGUGUUCACGGCAGGCUAUCGCCCGAAUACGUUAGCAUGGAAUAAUAAUAUAGGAUCUUGAUUCUAUUUUGUUGGUUUCUAGGAUUGAGAUAAUGAUUAAUAGGGACAGUUGGGGGCAUUCGUAUCAACACGUCAGAGGUGGAAUUCUUGGAUUGUGUUGCGACGAACUACUGCGAAAGCAUUUGCCAAGGAUGUUUUCAUUGAUCAAGAACGAAAGUAAGGGGAUCGAAGAUGAUUAGAUACCGUCGUAGUCUUUACCACAAACUAUGCCGACUAGAGAUGGGGCAUCGUUCAUUUACGACUUGCUCCGCACCUUAUGAGAUAUCAAAGUUUUUGGGUUCCGGGGGGAGUAUUGGCGCAAGCUAGGAACUUAAGGGAAUUGACGGAAGGGCACCACCAGGAGUGGAGCCUGCGGCUUAAUUUGACUCAACACGGGAAAACUCACCAGGUCCAGACAUAAUA
rnacentral:rRNA from 1 species